rnacentral:SRP_RNA from 1 species
CCGUGCUAGGCGGGGAGGUAGCGGUGCCCUGCACUCGCAAUCCGCUCUAGCGAGGCCGAAUCCCCGUCCGAGGGGUGAACGCCUCGGGGUCAGUGCGCCGGCCGUAUGGGCGUCGAUGACCAGGUCCCGCGCGAUGGACGCCCGCGAACCAGGUCAGGUCCGGGAGGAAGCAGCCUUAAGCGAUCCCGUCCAUGCGCCGCGGGGAAGCCUGAUCGGAGCCCAGGACCAGCGACACGCUCGGGGCCCAAUCUCGACGUCGGGUGCACGG